rnacentral:lncRNA from 1 species
GGCAGGGGCAGGCUCUGGCCUAAAAAAAAAAAAUCUCUUUACCCACAGACAUCAAACUUGGCACCCGUGAGGCGAAUGGGCCCCGGGGAAAUCAUAACCAGGUUCACACUGUAGUUUGGGCAUUUUUCACACUUACUAAUGAAGUAAACUUUUUAAAAGGCUCUCAACAGGCCUGUGAGUAUUAGCUGGGGUUACUAAAGUCUCCCCUCUAAGCAAGAAGGCCUGAGAAGGAAAAGAAAUGACAGGAGCCUUGGCUUGCCCUGUGUGUGUGCACAGACAGCCCAGGAGCCCUAUCCGAAGCCUAUACUGGAGCACAAGGCUGGAAGUUCCCUGGUUUGCCUAAAGAGAGUGUUAAUUGAGGUCCCUGAAACCUGGGUUAAGACUCAACACCGAGGGCAAGCUGCGACAGGGAGCCAGAAGUUGAACCUGAGCAUAGAGUGGGGAGGACGGGAAGGGAGACCCAUUGAGAGCGGCCAACGGGACAGACCCAGGUCUGCUCUCAAGACAAACAUACCUGUCCUGCUUCUGUCUCAGCCCAUGCCCCAUCCCUAACAUAGGCCUUGUUUUUAAGAGUUCUGAGAACCAGACCGACCCUAAGACCAACAGCUGGCAAUUACUUUAUGGGAAAACCAGGCUAUGGUGAGAUAUGCAGUGACUCUCCAGUUUUUGUGUGUGCUGGGUGCCCUGGAAGUAUUUUUAUUUUUCUGAAGACAGGAACUCAUAUAGCCGUGGCUCGCCUCAAAAUCACCAUGUAGCCAAGAUUGACCUUGGACUUCCGGUCCUCCUGCCUCUACCUCCCAGAUGCUAGGCUUACAGGUCUGUGUUAUCACACCUAGUUUAUGUGAUGCUGAGGAUUCAACCCAGGGUAGGACUCCUUGCGUGCCAGGCAAACCCUCUACUAGGCUACGUACCCAGCCUCUGUCCCAGAGACCUUUUGAGAUGCAGGUUCGUGUGCAGUAAACCUGGGUAGGAUCUGAGGUGGUUCUUCCCUCUUUACCCCAGAGGGUGUUUGGUUGUUUGGUUGGUUGUUUGGUUGUUGGUUGGUUGUUGGUUGGUUUCGACCACAGAUCUCACUUUGUAGCCUAGGCUGGCCUCAGACAUACAGUCCUCCCCCAUUUCUGCCUCCAAACUGCCAGAAUUACAGAUAAUCAAUCACCUCCAUGCCUGGCUUGAAACUUAUCUAACCAACCUCCAACCACCAUAGAUCCCUCAGCAGUGGAUGGAGCACACACCAAAUAGCAAAGGUGGGCAGCCCAAGACCUGAGUUCUUCAUCCUAGAUCCCGCCCCACCCUUCAAUUCCCUGAGCUUCCCCAGGCCUGAGGUGGGAACUGAAGACAGCUUCCUGUCUCUCUCCCCAGGCCUGGGAAAGGCUCGGGGAAGGGCACAGGCUUGAGGGUUGCCAGCUUUUCCGUACACCUUCCUUGGCUUCCAUGCCUCGCUGGCUGAGUCAGUGUGACCAGCCAGAAAGCUUUGACAUGUCAGGACAGGAAAUGACAGUUCCCAGGUACUAGCCGUUUCAAGCACGGAAGGGCCUGGAACACUGCUUGUGUGAUAAUUCAAGAAAUCCCAGGCUGAGCCCCAUGCCAUACCCGUAUGUUACCAAGACCAAGAGGUGAGGCUGUCAGCAAAGUCCCUGUAAGACAAGGGUCCAAGCAAGUACCUGUCAGUCAUCAGUCUACCCAGUGAUCCAACUUCUGCCUACCUCAGGUGGCCACUGGGAGCCUCACAGGUGAUUUCUGAACUGCCAUGGUAGGUGAGAACCUUAGUAUCCUAAUGUGUAAAGUGGAGCUGUCAGCAGGGUCGGCCUGUGGAGGAAGCAGCAGUGAUUCUGUAGUCCAGGUGAAGUUAUUAUGUCAGAGUGUGAGCUGUUGUGAGCAGCAUUGGUUCCAGACACCUCUCACCUACUCUGUCCCCACUUUCUGCCCCAGUCACCCCAGCCCCGGGGAACACCCAUCUGUGCAAACAGAGCUGCCUGUGGUUAUCUCUGCACAGGCCCUGGUACCACCCCUUUGCAGUCUCAGAAGCAAAGAGCUGCUCUAAUAUACUGCACCUGGCAUGUGGAUAGCAGACCAGGCCAGACCUUCUUCCUCC